ACAGCUUUCUGAACUGUAAGAUACUUCAAUAUGAAAAAGUUUUUCGGUACGCGCGCUCUGUUCGUUUUGGCCGUUGCAGCCGUUAUCCUUUCAACAGCGGAAAAUCUGUGUCCACUAUUUGCCCGUGCCGAACCUCUUUUCAAGUCCUGUUCGGGAAGUGCACGUCCUCCUGCACGUCCUCCCACAUCUCGACCACCAUCUGGAUUUUCAAAUCGAGCGACUCGUGGAGGCCCUACCUCAAGAAGAAUAUCGCAAGCCAAAGUCAGACUUUGAGAGGCUACUUUAUGACCGCUGUGACGUGCCCCUGUGCGAUGCCACAUGAAACAAAAGCAGAAAAAGAAUAAAGCUACCGAAUCUCUUUUGACCCAAUUAUUGCAAGUAAUAAACAUGGUAUAAUGCUACAACGUAGCUAUCUUUCA
rnacentral:lncRNA from 1 species